rnacentral:rRNA from 1 species
CCUACGGGUGGCAGCAUUGGGGAAUAUUGGGCAAUGGGCGCAAGCCUGACCCAGCAACGCCGCGUGAAGGAAGAAGGCUUUCGGGUUGUAAACUUCUUUUGUCAGGGAAGAGUAGAAGACGGUACCUGACGAAUAAGCCACGGCUAACUACGUGCCAGCAGCCGCGGUAAUACGUAGGUGGCCAGCGUUGUCCGGCUUUACUGGGUGUAAAGGGCGUGUAGCCGGGUUGACAAGUCAGAUGUGAAAUCCUGCGGCUUAACCGCAAAACUGCAUUUGAAACUGGUGAUCUUGAGUACUGGAGAGGCAGAUGGAAUUCCUGGGGUAGCGGUGAAAUGCGUAGAGAUUAGGAGGAACACCAGUGGCGAAGGCGGUCUGCUGGACAGCAACUGACGGUGAGGCGCGAAAGCGUGGGGAGCAAACAGGAUUAGAUACCCUGGUAGUC